UACGUAGGGUGCAAGCGUUGUCCGGAAUUAUUGGGCGUAAAGAGCUCGUAGGCGGUUUGUCGCGUCUGCUGUGAAAACCCGAGGCUCAACCUCGGGCCUGCGGUGGGUACAGGCAGACUAGAGUGCGGUAGGGGAGAAUGGAAUUCCUGGUGUAGCGGUGGAAUGCGCAGAUAUCAGGAGGAACACCGAUGGCGAAGGCAGUUCUCUGGGCCGAUACUGACGCUGAGGAGCGAAAGCGUGGGGAGCAAACAGG
rnacentral:rRNA from 1 species